CCGGGGGGGCCAGUGCCCCUGUAAAAUUGCUCCAGGCCCCUGUUGUGGCCCCUGUGCUGAACAGGUAACAAGAUUUAUUAAUUUUGACGUGCGCUGGCUCGAAGAUCGGAACUGACAUGACGGAGUGUUCUACACGGACUCCUUAAAGCGCUACACGCACACUGUUACCUGCAGCAGAAAGACCCGCAGAAGCGCGAAUUGUAAACUUCGGACGUGAGAGAUAACAGCUGCAGCCCUGCAAGGACUAGGCUACUGUAAAGAGGCGAAGACAGGGCGGACGAACCAGGGCAUUCGCCCGCCUGGCCGUGCCCGACGAGGAGCGCUCUCGGCCGGCUUGGGAGGCAGACGGCAGCCCCUCCUGGAAGUGUGGUUUUACCAUGGGCCUCAUGCGGAAAAAUGCCGAGGUGCAUUCGCUAAGCGACUGAAAGCCGAGACGAGUCACAGACAUGAUGAGUCUGUCACAGAGAGUCACAGGCAUGAUGGAGGAAGGGAACAGACAGAGACCUGCUCUGAAGAUGAACUGUCAGGGCAGUUAUGGAUCCAGAGCCUAUCCUAGGGAAUGCUGGGUACAAAGCAGGAAUACACACUGAAUGGGACACCAGUCCAUCACAAGAAACAACUUCAUCCUGGUCAUGCUGGAUCUGGAGCCUGUCCUGGAAACCAUGGAUGUGAGGAGGGAAUACACCACUAGUCCAUCAUAGGUCACCAUGCACACACACAAUCACACAAUCAUUCUGUGAUUGGAGUUGCUUUUAAUCUCAUUGUACAUGUGUAUAGUGACAAUAAAGGCAUUCUAUUCUA